AUUGAACGCUAGCGGUAAGCCUAAUACAUGCAAGUCGAGCGCGAAAGUCCCUUCGGGGGCGAUUAGAGCGGCGGACGGGUGAGUAACACGUAGGUAUCUACCUGGUAGUGGGGAAUAGCCCAGGGAAACCUGGAUUAAUACCGCAUAUGUUCUACGGAACAAAGGGAGCCUCUUCUUGAAAGCUCUCGCUACCAGAUGAACCUGCGCCGGAUUAGCUUGUUGGUGGGGUAAAAGCCCACCAAGGCGACGAUCCGUAGCUGGUCUUAGAGGAUGAUCAGCCACACUGGGACUGAGACACGGCCCAGACUCCUACGGGAGGCAGCA
rnacentral:rRNA from 1 species